rnacentral:rRNA from 1 species
AUUGAACGCUGGCGGCAGGCCUAACACAUGCAAGUCGAACGAGUGGCGGACGGGUGAGUAAUCUGGGGGAAACUGUCUGAUGGAGGGGGAUAACUUCUGGAAACGGUAGCUAAUACCACAUACUAUCAGAUGUGCCCAGAUGGGAUGAGCUUGUUGGUGGGGAAACGGCUCACCUAGGCGACGAUCCCUAGCUGGUCUGAGAGGAUGACCAGCCACACUGGAACUGAGACACGGUCCAGACUCCUACGGGAGGCAGCAGUGGGGAAUAUUGCACAAUGGGCGCAAGCCUGAUGCAGCCAUGCCGCGUGUGUGAAGAAGGCCUUCGGGUUGUAAAGUACUUUCAGCGGGGAGGCGUUACCCGCAGAAGAAGCACCGGCUAACUCCGUGCCAGCAGCCGCGGUAAUUC